AGGAGUAGCUUUCUGUGAAGCAGUAUUGCCUCCUGACAGCAGUGUAUUUUCACAGAAGAAAUGCACUGCUAGAAUUUUCGCCUGCUCACCUCCCGCUGAAAGAGGGACUGCAGCAGAACCUCUGACUACCGAUUCUUCUAAGAUCCUGAAUGGCAAGUUCCUGUCUUGGGCAGCAAAGAGCCUCAGGACUAACAGAGCCUGAAUUAUAGUAA